rnacentral:misc_RNA from 1 species
GGAAGUAAAAGUUGUAACAAGGUCUCCGUUGGUGAACCAGCGGAGGGAUCAUUACCGAGUUUACAACUCCCAAACCCAAUGUGAACCAUACCAAACUGUUGCCUCGGCGGGGUCACGCCCCGGGUGCGUCGCAGCCCCGGAACCAGGCGCCCGCCGGAGGGACCAACCAAACUCUUUCUGUAGUCCCCUCGCGGACGUUAUUUUUACAGCUCUGAGCAAAAAUUCAAAAUGAAUCAAAACUUUCAACAACGGAUCUCUUGGUUCUG